rnacentral:rRNA from 1 species
GCAGAUCGAUCUUAUCAAUUGACCCGUGAACUUGUUAACCACAUAGUGUUAGCCUGGGUCUUUACGGCUUUGGCUUCACUUUGGUAAGGAUGGUUCAUGCCUCGUGUGAACUUAUCUUGCCAAUAUACAAACCCCGGCGCAUUGUGCGCCAAGGAACAUGAAACUGUUGAUGAUGUGCUCAUGGACCCGGAGACGGUGUCUUUCUGAGUGGCAUUGUGACACAUAAUACUAAAUGACUCUCGGCAACGGAUAUCUCGGCUCUUGCAUCGAUGAAGAACGUAGCGAAAUGCGAUACUUGGUGUGAAUUGCAGAAUCCCGUGAACCAUCGAGUCUUUGAACGCAAGUUGCGCCCCAAGCCAUUAGGUUGAGGGCACGCCUGCCUGGGUGUCACAAAUCGUUACCCCAAUGCAAUAUCUUAACUUAGGGUAUUGGAAGGGUGUAAGUUGACCUCCCGCAUGCAUCGUCUUGUGGUUGGUUGAAAAUUGAGUCCUUUGUGGAGAGCCCCAUGAUAAAUGGUGGUUGAGUAACCCUCGAGACCAAUCAUGUGCGGCUCUUUACUCAUGGCUCAGGUGACCCUUGUGUUCUUUAGAACGCUCACAACGAGACCUCAGGUCAGACGG